rnacentral:lncRNA from 1 species
UUCCUGUGUCCACUUCAAUUUCGAUAAAACCUUUCAUCGGCUCCUGCUUCAUCGGCAUACCCCUUGUAGUCUCCUGAGCAACUUCCACGCUCCCCUUCAUCGGCAUCGGUGAUCAAUUGUUCUCCAUCGGUAUCAAUGAUCAAUCAGCAAUGACUAGUAACCACCAUCUUCAUCCUCAGACCAGCAGCAUCCUCCACCUGUCAUCCUGUCAUCGGCAUCACC